rnacentral:rRNA from 1 species
GAUGAACGCUAGCGGCAGGCUUAAUACAUGCAAGUCGUGGGGCAGCAUGAAGUAGCAAUACUUUGAUGGCGACCGGCAAGCGGGUGCGGAACACGUACACAACCUUCCUUUUAGUGGGGAAUAGCCCAGAGAAAUUUGGAUUAAUACCCCGUAACAUAGCGAUGUGGCAUCACAUUGCUAUUAUAGCUUCGGCGCUAGAUGAUGGGUGUGCGUAUGAUUAGAUAGUUGGCGAGGUAACGGCUCACCAAGUCUACGAUCAUUAGCUGAUGUGAGGGCCUGAUCAGCCACACGGGCACUGAGAAACGGGCCCGACUCCUACGGGAGGCAGCAGUAAGGAAUAUUGGUCAAUGGACGAAAGUCUGAACCAGCCAUGCCGCGUGAAGGAUUAAGGUCCUCUGGAUUGUAAACUUCUUUUAUAUGGGACGAAAAGAGGUCUUUCUAGAUCACUUGACGGUACCAUAUGAAUAAGCACCGGCUAACUCCGUGCCAGCAGCCGCCGCCGUAA